AUAACUACGAGUUAUUCAAAUAACUUUUCUUGCCGCGCUCGGCUCCGUUUCCGGCCCGCCGAGCCGAGGGGCGGAGCCGAGUUGUCGCUCGGGGUUCGGCGGGGCCGCCGAGCACCGAGCUCGUCUGUCGGGCGCGGUAUGAGAAAUUGCGCGGUCACCUGCGUCGGGCCCAGGCCUGCCCUGAGCCUCUGUAGUCGCUAGCCGUAUGUGACGUUUGGCUUGGCGUAACCAAAGCCAUCGAGGCGCGAAGAAGAAGAAGUGGCAAGCUUAUUUAUUUAUCGUCGUCGUAAUGAUCCGUGAUUCAUUCACAACCACCCCAUCUCCAUCUGAGGAUGAGGAAGAUUCGUGCACUUCAGAAGGCCUAAAGAAUAAUGCGCAAGUGAGUACCGAUCCGCUGUUCUCCGUUUGACGUUUUCUCCUUUGGGUCCGAGCAACCGUCUGCUGUGUAGUUGACGCACGCAACGUGGUUUUCGAGCACGGAGCCAUGCUUUUUGAGAGGUGUUUUUUUUGUUCGAUUCAAGGCCUUCCAAUCGCCCACGCAAAACACCUACCUCUUGUAGUGCCCUCUCGCAUUGCCCUCGGGUAAUUAUCCGCACGGAUCGUCGGGCAGCGUAUGGGCAUCCUAACCUUACAGUGAAGCACUGCAAUGCGGCCUAACCUCUGCUGCUACUGCUCGGAGCUGAAGGCCGCCUCUAUUUUCCUGUUACAUUUGCUGUCUGUCUGAUGAAACUGUUUUCCUAGCGUUGCAGAUCAAUGCAGGAGGAGAUGGAAAGUCUCUCCCCGAGGCUGUACUUGGGAACUCGGGGAGAGAGAGGCAUCCUUGGAGGGCCCUGUCGGCGUGUGGGGGCCCUCCUCUGGCUAGCAACAUCCAAUAGAGAAUGCCAUGGAGUCUUGGAGGGCCCAGUAGAGAGCCUCCUGGGCUGGUGGAGGCUCUCUAGGGCCCAAGGUAUGGAGUAGGAUAAUUUGAUGGACAGAACGAGGAAGCGCUCAGGAGUAAUGCGAUGUCUUUUCUGAAGAGGGACAAGGGCCAUCAGAGAGCUGCCCUGGUAGGAAGCCUUCCUCUUGGAUAUGAGUGGGAAUGUGUCAAGAUGAAACAUUUUGUCUGUUUGUGUUAUGGCUCCGUGGCUCGUGGCUCUCUGUGUAUGGCCCAAGCAUGGAAUAGGAUAACUUGAUAAACAGAAGGAUGAAGCGCUCAUGAGUAAUGCGAUGUCCUUCCUGAGGAGGGCCGAGGGCCAUCAGAGAGCUGCCUUGGGCUCGUGGCUCGUGGCUCUCUAUGUCCAAAGGCAUGGAUGUAAGGGGAUAAUUCGAUGAACAGAGUGAGGAAGCGCUCAGGAAUAAUGCAAUUUCCUUCCCUGAGGCUGUGAACCUAUAGGGACAAUGGCCAUCAGAGCGCCUCCCUGGUAGGAGUCCUUCCUCUGAUCUAUGAAUGGGUAUAAUCUAUUUGUCUGUGAACAAGUGCCGAGUAUGUUCCCAUGUUUUGUUGGGAAUGAUAGUCACGCUCUUGAUCUGGCUCUAGACAAUGGCAAUCCUGAACAGAGGCAAUGGCUCUUGGCAGUGAUUGAGGAAGACCACAACUAUUUUGAAGACCCUCCCCUGAGUGAUGCCAAGCAUGGAAUGUGGUCAAGUCUGUAGAUUGAAUCCAACAUCAGUUUGUUUGUACGACUGCCUAAAUGGUUCAUUCCUAUCACUGAGAGUAGGUUGUCUGGUUCAGGAACAAGUCUAGUGAUGGUCUGUAGCCAGGUUCCUUCAAAACAUUGGGGCAGUUCUUCAGUUGUGGGUUUCCAGCCGCAGACCAUAGGCUCUCAUUGUAAUCCCAAAUUCCACUGCGCUGACUGUCUCUAUUGAGAAUGUGAGAAAAAUCCAUCUGAAACGGCUACCAGGCAAGUUUUCAUGCAGAUUCUUGUUAAUUGUUGUACUGUGGUUACCUUGACCCCCUGGGUUUUUUCUUUAAUAUAUCGUUCUAUUGCUUGUUUAGGUGUGGCCUGAAUAGAACUCCUCAUGUGAAAGGUUUAUCUCGACUGCUGUCACAAGUCGUGAGAACACUUUGUUUACUACGAAGAAUGUGUGGCAUUUGGACACGGGUUGGUUUGGCACAUUAACUACUGUGCUGCUGGUGACCUUUUGAGGAUGGACUGAAUCAACAGUUGACAUCACAGGUAUCCCUUUGGGGAGCUGUCAGAUGCUGUGAGUUGUUGAACUGCAGCAACUCUUUCACUUGGUGGCUGUGAGUGAACUUGAAGGGAGAGAAGAAUAUAUUCAAGUGCAGGCUUGCGCUUCUGAUCAGGCCUUGUGACACCUCGUUUACUGGAAGCUUCCUUUAACUUCGCCUGACCAACACAGGCAACUCCUGCAUUCCCUGGAAAAAGUGGCCGAGCUACUCUCUUCAGCUGCGAAGCGCGCAGGACCUUCUUGCGCUCAUUUUGAUCGUCUGGCAGCCGCCUUCCUCAUCACUUCGUGGGCAACUCUAUCGCACUGUGCCAGCCGUGGCCGACGCCGCCAGCUUGAUGACCAGGAGCAGCUCUGGGACCUUGAUGUUCCGCAAGCCUGACAGAGCAGGGGAAGCUCGCCCAGCCGCCAGUGCCGUCGCACUCACCAUCCCGAGCUCUUCUUCGUCCUGUUCUUCAAAGGGGUAGGGAUGCAGCACGCGCCCGCCACUCAGCCGCGGCAUGGCGUGCAGCACGCGCCCGCCACUCAGCCGCGGCAUGGCGUGCAGCACGCGCAGGAGGAAGGGACAAGUGGCUGAACAUGCGGAUUGUCUGACAUCAUCGCCCUCACGGCCUCUUCGUGGAGGAGACUCCAGGGACUCUUGGCGCAGGGCCUUGGCAGAGCCCUUCAUCCUUCUGUUCAUCA